AUACGGAGGGUGCAAGCGUUACUCGGAAUCACUGGGCGUAAAGCGCGCGCAGGCGGCUUGAUAAGUUGGAUGUGAAAGCCUACGGCUCAACCGUAGAACUGCAUCCAAAACUGUCAGGCUAGAGUGUGGGAGAGGAAGAUGGAAUUAGUUGUGUAGGGGUAAAAUCCGUAGAGAUAACUAGGAAUACCAAAAGCGAAGGCAAUCUUCUGGAACACUACUGACGCUGAGGCGCGAAGGCGUGGGGAGCAAACAGGAUUAGAUACCCUGGUAGUCC
rnacentral:rRNA from 1 species